rnacentral:lncRNA from 1 species
CCCCCCCCCCCCCCCCCCCCCCCCCCCCCCCCCCCCCCCCCCCCCCCCCCCCCCCGCUCUUCCGAUCUGCCACCGGCGCGGCCAGCGCCGCUGUCCUGGCGCGGCUGGAGGAGGUGACGCGGCACUUGGGGACACUGGUGGCCGCCGUCCGGCGCGACACGGCGGUGACACCGUGGGGGACGCGGCGACAGGGAUUCCCCGCCACCGCGCGAGCGCUCGGCGACAUCCUGGUGGCCUUGGGGACAUCGGGGGAGGGACACGAGGAGCUGGCGCGGUGCCUGCAGGACCCCACUGUGUCCCCAAGGUCCCCACGUGACCCCAGUGUCACUCAGUGUCCCCAACGGGACCCCAGUGUCCCCCCAGUGUCCCAUGUGAC